rnacentral:rRNA from 1 species
ACAGAGGGGGCAAGCGUUGUUCGGAAUUACUGGGCGUAAAGGGCGCGUAGGCGGCCUGCUAAGUCGAACGUGAAAUCCCCGGGCUCAACCCGGGAACUGCGUCCGAUACUGGUGGGCUUGAAUCCGGAAGAGGGAUGCGGAAUUCCAGGUGUAGCGGUGAAAUGCGUAGAUAUCUGGAGGAAUACCGGUGGCGAAGGCGGCAUCCUGGACCAUUUACUGACGCUGAGGCGCGAAAGCUAGGGGAGCAAACGGGA